rnacentral:rRNA from 1 species
UACGUAGGGGGCUAGCGUUGUCCGGAAUCAUUGGGCGUAAAGCGCGUGUAGGCGGUCCGGUAAGUCCGCUGUGAAAGUCCAGGGCUCAACCCUCGAAUGCCGGUGGAUACUGUCGGGCUAGAGUACGGAAGAGGCGAGUGGAAUUCCUGGUGUAGCGGUGAAAUGCGCAGAUAUCAGGAGGAACACCAAUUGCGAAGGCAGCUCGCUGGGACGUUACUGACGCUGAGACGCGAAAGCGUGGGGAGCAAACAGG